rnacentral:rRNA from 1 species
CCUACGGGGGGCAGCAGUGGGGAAUAUUGGACAAUGGGCGAAAGCCUGAUCCAGCCAUGCCGCGUGUGUGAAGAAGGCCUUCGGGUUGUAAAGCACUUUCAGUGGGGAAGAAAGCCUUGGGGCUAAUACCCUCGAGGAAGGACAUCACCCACAGAAGAAGCACCGGCUAACUCCGUGCCAGCAGCCGCGGUAAUACGGAGGGUGCGAGCGUUAAUCGGAAUUACUGGGCGUAAAGCGCGCGUAGGCGGUCUGAUAAGCCGGUUGUGAAAGCCCCGGGCUCAACCUGGGAACGGCAUCCGGAACUGUCAGGCUAGAGAGCAGGAGAGGAAGGUAGAAUUCCCGGUGUAGCGGUGAAAUGCGUAGAGAGCGGGAGGAAUACCAGUGGCGAAGGCGGCCUUCUGGACUGACACUGACGCUGAGGUGCGAAAGCGUGGGUAGCAAACAGGAUUAGAUACCCCUGUAGUC